rnacentral:lncRNA from 1 species
AUAUGAAUGGGAGCGGGCAGCUGUGGAUGGCCAAAGCAGGGCCACUGGAAGUAAAGCUGGCAUUGACAAGGGCAGACAGGUGCAGAAGGAAACCUGGUUUUGGAUGACAUUGGUCCCUGGACUGGAGAGAGCUCAAGCCCUGGCUGCAAAUCGUUUGCCUUGAAGAGACAUAAAUGAGAACCACAACUGCCAGAAAAUAAGGAGUGGCAGGAAGUUGUUGGAGAGGAUGCUUGGAUGGUCAUUCCUCCUCUCAGCCAGUAGUGAGCCUUUUGAUAAACACUACAGAUUGCUCCGGAUGAAUGCUAUGGAGAUGCCGAAGACUGUCCGACAAUUUCUUUUAAAGUCGGAUAUUCAAUUGCGAAAGAUGUUCGAACAAUCUAAUGAUGGAUGUUCAUUAGUUCACUGCUGUCAAGAUGAGUUGCUACUCUGCAUCUCUGAUACUGAUCGUGUUUCUGCAGUCAUGAUUGAGCUGUUGAAGAAAAAACACUCCAAAGAACUCUCUCGACUGUGUCCAAGCCAGCACCAACUUGAAAUAUCAUUGGCUUACGCAGCAACAUCAAAACCCACAAAGCGAAUAGAUUAGAUCCAUCCCAGAGACUUUUCUCCAGCUGUAAAUGGAUUUGCCCUCUUUAGAGCGGGGAACAGAGUUCCAACACAAUUUUUCUUAUUAGAACAGACUAAGGAAUUUACUUCAAAUGGGGCUGCUGGUUGUCCUGUGGAAGCUGUGUCAGAAUAAAUAUUCAGCUACUCUUCA